CCUACGGGGGGCAGCAGUGGGGAAUAUUGGACAAUGGGCGAAAGCCUGAUCCAGCCAUGCCGCGUGUGUGAAGAAGGCCUUCGGGUUGUAAAGCACUUUCAGUGGGGAAGAAAGCCUUGGGGCUAAUACCCUCGAGGAAGGACAUCACCCACAGAAGAAGCACCGGCUAACUCCGUGCCAGCAGCCGCGGUAAUACGGAGGGUGCGAGCGUUAAUCGGAAUUACUGGGCGUAAAGCGCGCGUAGGCGGUCUGAUAAGCCGGUUGUGAAAGCCCCGGGCUCAACCUGGGAACGGCAUCCGGAACUGUCAGGCUAGAGUGCAGGAGAGGAAGGUAGAAUUCCCGGUGUAGCGGUGAAAUGCGUAGAGAUCGGGAGGAAUACCAGUGGCGAAGGCGGCCUUCUGGACUGACACUGACGCUGAGGUGCGAAAGCGCGGGUAGCAAACAGGAUUAGAUACCCCAGUAGUC
rnacentral:rRNA from 1 species